UACGUAGGGGGCCAGCGUUGUUCGGAAUUACUGGGUGUAAAAGGGUUCGUAGGCGGUGCGGCAAGUUGGGAGUGAAAUCUCUGGGCUCAACCCAGAGACGGCUUCCAAAACUGCUGUGCUUGAGUGUGGGAGAGGCUCGCGGAAUUGCAGGUGUAGCGGUGAAAUGCGUAGAUAUCUGCAGGAACACCCGUGGCGAAAGCGGCGAGCUGGACCACUACUGACGCUGAAGAACGAAAGCUAGGGGAGCAAACAGG
rnacentral:rRNA from 1 species